GCUUGCGUAGCUUAAUCAAAGCAUGGCACUGAAGCUGUUAAGAUGGGCCCUAAAAAACCCCGCAACCA
rnacentral:tRNA from 1 species